rnacentral:rRNA from 1 species
CACGUAGGGGGCAAGCGUUGUCCGGAUUUAUUGGGCGUAAAGAGCUCGUAGGCGGUUUCGUAAGUCGGAUGUGAAAACUCCAGGCUCAACUUGGAGACGCCAUUCGAUACUGCGAUGACUUGAGUCCGGUAGGGGAGUGUGGAAUUCCCGGUGUAGCGGUGAAAUGCGCAGAUAUCAGGAGGAACACCGGCGGCGAAGGCGGCACUCUGGGCCGGUACUGACGCUGAGGAGCGAAAGCGUGGGUAGCAAACAGG